GCCGCUAUGGUGAAAUUGGUAGACACGUUGCUCUUAGGAAGCAAUGCUAACGUAUCUCGGUUCGAAUCCGAGUAGCGG
rnacentral:tRNA from 1 species